rnacentral:rRNA from 1 species
UACGUAGGGGGCGAGCGUUGCCCGGAUUUAUUGGGCGUAAAGAGCUCGUAGGCGGCUUGGCAAGUCGGGUGUGAAACCUCCAGGCUCAACCUGGAGACGCCACUCGAUACUGCCAUGGCUAGAGUCCGGUAGGGGACCACGGAAUUCCUGGUGUAGCGGUGAAAUGCGCAGAUAUCAGGAGGAACACCGGUGGCGAAGGCGGUGGUCUGGGCCGGCACUGACGCUGAGGAGCGAAAGCGUGGGUAGCAAACAGG